rnacentral:tRNA from 1 species
GGGGGUGUGGCUCAGUGGUAGAACAGUUGCCUAGCAUGUGCAGGGCCCUGGGUUCAAUCCCCAGCACUGCCA